UGAGGAAUAUUGGUCAAUGGCCGGGAGGCUGAACCAGCCAAGUCGCGUGAGGGAAGACGGCCCUACGGGUUGUAAACCUCUUUUGCCGGGGAGCAAAGGCGGUCAUGUAUGACCGGAUGAGAGUACCCGGAGAAAAAGCAUCGGCUAACUCCGUGCCAGCAGCCGCGGUAAUACGGAGGAUGCGAGCGUUAUCCGGAUUUAUUGGGUUUAAAGGGUGCGCAGGCGGGACGCCAAGUCAGCGGUCAAAUUUCGGGGCUCAACCCCGACCUGCCGUUGAAACUGGCGUCCUAGAGUGGGCGAGAAGUAUGCGGAAUGCGUGGUGUAGCGGUGAAAUGCAUAGAUAUCACGCAGAACUCCGAUUGCGAAGGCAGCAUACCGGCGCCCCACUGACGCUCAUGCACGAAAGCGUGGGUAUCGAACAGGAUUAGAUACC
rnacentral:rRNA from 1 species